rnacentral:rRNA from 1 species
CCUACGGGGGGCUGCAGUGGGGAAUAUUGGACAAUGGGGGGAACCCUGAUCCAGCCAUGCCGCGUGUGUGAAGAAGGCCCUCGGGUUGUAAAGCACUUUCAGUGAGGAAGAACGCCUGGUGGUUAAUACCCAUCAGGAAAGACAUCACUCACAGAAGAAGCACCGGCUAACUCCGUGCCAGCAGCCGCGGUAAUACGGAGGGUGCGAGCGUUAAUCGGAAUUACUGGGCGUAAAGCGCGCGUAGGUGGCUUGAUAAGCCGGUUGUGAAAGCCCCGGGCUCAACCUGGGAACGGCAUCCGGAACUGUCAAGCUAGAGUGCAGGAGAGGAAGGUAGAAUUCCCGGUGUAGCGGUGAAAUGCGUGGAGAUCGGGAGGAAUACCAGUGGCGAAGGCGGCCUUCUGGACUGACACUGACACUGAGGUGCGAAAGCGUGGGUAGCAAACAGGAUUAGAUACCCGUGUAGUC